UGGGGAAUAUUGCACAAUGGGGGAAACCCUGAUGCAGCAACGCCGCGUGAACGAAGAAGGUCUUCGGAUCGUAAAGUUCUGUCCUUGGGGAAGAAAAAGAUGACGGUACCCAUGGAGGAAGCCCCGGCUAACUACGUGCCAGCAGCCGCGGUAAUACGUAGGGGGCGAGCGUUAUCCGGAAUUAUUGGGCGUAAAGAGUACGUAGGCGGUUCUUUAAGCGCAGGGUAUAAGGCUAAGGCUUAACCAUAGUUGGCCCUGUGAACUGGAGGACUUGAGUAUCGGAGAGGAAAGCGGAAUUCCUAGUGUAGCGGUGAAAUGCGUAGAUAUUAGGAGGAACACCAGUGGCGAAGGCGGCUUUCUGGACGAAUACUGACGCUGAGGUACGAAAGCGUGGGGAGCAAACAGG
rnacentral:rRNA from 1 species